GACGAACGCUGGCGGCGUGCUUAACACAUGCAAGUCGAACGGAAAGGCCCUGCUUUUGUGGGGUUCUCGAGUGGCGAAGGGGUGAGUAACACGUGAGUAACCUGCCCUUGACUUUGGGAUAACUUCAGGAAACUGGGGCUAAUACCGGAUAGGAGCUCCUGCUGCAUGGUGGGGGUUGGAAAGUCUCGGCUGUUGGGGAUGGACUCGCGGCUGAUGAGCUUGUUGGUGGGGUAGUGGCUUACCAAGGCUGUGGCGGGUAGCCGGCCUGAGAGGGUGACCGGCCACAAUGGGACUGAGAUACGGCCCAGACUCCUACGGGAGGCAGCAGUGGGGAGUAUUGCCCAAUGGGAGGAAGCCUGAUGAAGAGACGCCGCGUGCGGGAUGACGGCCUUCGGGUUGUAAACCGCUUUCGCCUGUGACGAAGCGUGAGUGACGGUAAUGGGUAAAGAAGCACCGGCUAACUACGUG
rnacentral:rRNA from 1 species